UUUCAAACUUGAGAGUUUGAUCCUGGCUCAGAACGAACGCUGGCGGCAGGCUUAACACAUGCAAGUC
rnacentral:rRNA from 1 species